GUAGACAUAGUUUAACCAAAACACUAGGUUGUGAGCCUAUAAACAAGAAUUUAUUCCUCUUUGUCUACC
rnacentral:tRNA from 1 species